AAUCAAGUGGAGGACAAGUCUGGUGCCAGCACCCGCGGUAAUUCCAGCUCCACUAGCGUAUAUUAAAGUUGUUGCAGUUAAAAAGCUCGUAGUUGAACCUCUGUCUGGGGCUAGUUUUGGCUUUGGUCAGGCUAGUUCUAGGCAUCCGCCUACAAGACUUAGAGGGCAUUCAGUUGUUCACUAGGAGGAGUAGGCAUUUUACUUUGAAAAAAUUAGAGUGUUUAAGGCAGGCAAUCGCCCGCAUAUAUUAGCAUGGAAUAAUAGAAUAGGACACUUUUCCAUUUCGUUGGUUAUUGGAAUCGUGUAAUGAUUAAUAGGGACAGUUGUGGGCAUUUGUAUUUAAUUGUCAGAGGUGAAAUUCUUGGAUUUAUUAAAGACAAACUAACGCGAAAGCAUUUGCCAAGGAUGUUUUCAUUAAUCAAGAACGAAAGUUAGGGGAUCAAAGACGAUCAGAUACCGUCCUAGUCUUAACUAUAAACUAUUCCGACUCAAUGUUUGACUGGCUUAUAUAACCAGUUGAGCGUUGUAUGAGAAAUCAAAGUCUUUAGGUUCUGGGGGGAGUAUGGUUGCAAAGCUGAAACUUAAAGGAAUUGACGGAAGAGCACAACCAGGAGUGGAUUCUGCGGCUUAAUUUGACUCAACACGGGGAAACUUACCAGGUUAAAACAAUAGUGGGAUUGACAGUUUGAGAGCGCUUUCUUGAUUGGUUGGGUGGUGGUGCAUGGCCGUUCUUAGUUGGUGGAGUGAUUUGUCUGCUUAAUUGCGUUAACGAACGAGACCUUAACCUGCUUACUAGACUGGCGAUCAUCAAUCGUUAGCUCUUCUUAGAGGGACUUUGGUUGUUUUAACUCCAAGGAAGUUUGAGGCAAUAACAGGUCUGUGAUGCCCUUAGAUAUCCUGGGCCGCACGCGUCAUACAAUGACUAGUUCAGAAAGUUUUCUCCUGACCCGGAAGGGGAUGGGUAAUCUUGAUAAUACUAGUCGUGUUAGGGAUCGAUCUUUGCAAUUAUAGAUCUUGAACGAGGAAUUCCUAGUAAGUGCGGUUCAUCAGACCGUACUGAUUACGUCCCUGCUCUUUGUACACACCGCCCGUCGCUUCUACCGAGUGGGUGGUCCGGUGAGAUAAUUGAACUUCGCAGGUAACUGAGAGGAAAGAUUAUCAAACCUAUCCACCU
rnacentral:rRNA from 1 species